GAACGCUAGCUACAGGCUUAACACAUGCAAGUCGAGGGGCAGCAUGGUCUUAGCUUGCUAAGGCCGAUGGCGACCGGCGCACGGGUGAGUAACACGUAUCCAACCUGCCGUCUACUCUUGGACAGCCUUCUGAAAGGAAGAUUAAUACAAGAUGGCAUCAUGAGUCCGCAUGUUCACAUGAUUAAAGGUAUUCCGGUAGACGAUGGGGAUGCGUUCCAUUAGAUAGUAGGCGGGGUAACGGCCCACCUAGUCUUCGAUGGAUAGGGGUUCUGAGAGGAAGGUCCCCCACAUUGGAACUGAGACACGGUCCAAACUCCUACGGGAGGCAGCAGUGAGGAAUAUUGGUCAAUGGGCGAGAGCCUGAACCAGCCAAGUAGCGUGAGGGAUGACUGCCCUAUGGGUUGUAAACUUCUUUUAUAAAGGAAUAAAGUCGGGUAUGGAUACCCGUUUGCAUGUACUUUAUGAAUAAGGAUCGGCUAACUCCGUGCCAGCAGCCGCGGUAAUACGGAGGAUCCGAGCGUUAUCCGGAUUUAUUGGGUUUAAAGGGAGCGUAGAUGGAUGUUUAAGUCAGUUGUGAAAGUUUGCGGCUCAACCGUAAAAUUGCAGUUGAUACUGGAUAUCUUGAGUGCAGUUGAGGCAGGCGGAAUUCGUGGUGUAGCGGUGAAAUGCUUAGAUAUCACGAAGAACUCCGAUUGCGAAGGCAGCCUGCUAAGCUGCAACUGACAUUGAGGCUCGAAAGUGUGGGUAUCAAACAGGAUUAGAUACCCUGGUAGUCCACACGGUAAACGAUGAAUACUCGCUGUUUGCGAUAUACAGCAAGCGGCCAAGCGAAAGCGUUAAGUAUUCCACCUGGGGAGUACGCCGGCAACGGUGAAACUCAAAGGAAUUGACGGGGGCCCGCACAAGCGGAGGAACAUGUGGUUUAAUUCGAUGAUACGCGAGGAACCUUACCCGGGCUUAAAUUGCAGAUGAAUUACGGUGAAAGCCGUAAGCCGCAAGGCAUCUGUGAAGGUGCUGCAUGGUUGUCGUCAGCUCGUGCCGUGAGGUGUCGGCUUAAGUGCCAUAACGAGCGCAACCCUUGUUGUCAGUUACUAACAGGUUCCGCUGAGGACUCUGACAAGACUGCCAUCGUAAGAUGUGAGGAAGGUGGGGAUGACGUCAAAUCAGCACGGCCCUUACGUCCGGGGCUACACACGUGUUACAAUGGGGGGUACAGAGGGCCGCUACCACGCGAGUGGAUGCCAAUCCCCAAAACCUCUCUCAGUUCGGACUGGAGUCUGCAACCCGACUCCACGAAGCUGGAUUCGCUAGUAAUCGCGCAUCAGCCACGGCGCGGUGAAUACGUUCCCGGGCCUUGUACACACCGCCCGUCAAGCCAUGGGAGCCGGGGGUACCUGAAGUGCGUAACCGCGAGGAGCGCCCUAGGGUAAAACUGGUGACUGGGGCUAAGU
rnacentral:rRNA from 1 species